rnacentral:siRNA from 1 species
UGCUGUUGUUGUUGUUGUUGCCGU